AGAGAAAUUUUCCGUCGUAUCUGGGGCUUCCUUGCGGAGCUAAACAAAACUUCAGAGUUCAUUGCCGGUUGUGGUUGGGCAAGUGUGUGAAAUACAGUAUGUGCCAUUAACUUUUCUUGUGAUUUGCUUCGAUCAUCAAGAGUUUCAGGCACUGCGACUUCUGGUAAUUUACGGCAAAAUGGACGGUCAGCUACGAGGAAACUGCCAGACCUGUGUGGAUUUUGAAGAUGACGACUAUGACCCUAAUGAAUUGCUGAUUUGGUUAGUCUGAAGUGCAUCAUGAAGAUAUGAAUGGACCAGUUCAAAUGGUCUGACAGAUUGCAUGGUCGAGAUAACAAGCGAAGCAGUCAUAUCCGUGCAAAGUACAAGCUCUCAAAGAAUGUGGAGUGCAGCAUGCAAUGUCUCCGGAAGACUGGCGUGAACAGGCAACUUACGCCGUACAGUAAAGGAGGUGGAAGAAGGAUACCGUGAAGGAUAAUGUAAAGAAGAAUAUUGACUGCAUGGUGUUCAUCUGUAUGGUUUAGGACUUUCGACGACAUCAUCUCUCCCACCACUUUAUGGUGUCGUGUACAUGCUCAGAUGUUGGUAAUAUAGCCUCACAACUUUGGUCACACUUAUUACUCCACCUAUAAACUUUUAUUCUGCUGGAGAGCACGCGCACAUCUCUUUUCUAAAACCUAAAAUUGAUAAAAAAAAAAAAAUCUUAGAUUUAGGUUUUAUUGAAAGGGGCAGUGGGCGAGUGUGCUACCCGUAGGACAGAUCUAUAAUGUUUGAAGUUAACAACAAUCAUCAGCGCACUUACAAAGUACAAAAACCAUAAUAA